rnacentral:rRNA from 1 species
UACGAGGGGGCGAGCGUUUGUUCGGAAUUAUUGGGCGUAAAGAGCUCGUAGGCGGCUUGUCACGUCGGGUGUGAAAGCCCGGGGCUUAACCCCGGGUCUGCAUUCGAUACGGGCAGGCUAGAGUGUGGUAGGGGAGAUCGGAAUUCCUGGUGUAGCGGUGAAAUGCGCAGAUAUCAGGAGGAACACCGGUGGCGAAGGCGGAUCUCUGGGCCAUUACUGACGCUGAGGAGCGAAAGCGUGGGGAGCGAAACAGG